UUAUACUCGGAAGGCCUGAGCGUGGCAAACUUACAUUUUGGGGUUUACAGUGCAUUCUAAAUCAUGCAUCAUAUUUUUUCAGGAAACUGAAAGAGACCAAAACUGAACUGAGUUCAUUGAAAACAGAAAAGGAUACACUAACCAAGGAUUUGAGUGCAACAAAGUUCACUUUGGGUAAUUGUAAGAAUAAAAACAUGGAUCACGAGGUCCGAAGCUUGGAAUUGCUUCAAGAGAUUGAAGGAUUGAAAAAGGAAUUAUAAAAGCAUGUUAACUGUUUAAUACUAUUGAAUUUGAAUACUAUUUGUUAAUGUAACUAUAUAAUUGGUUGCAUCGAAUGAUGGUCACAGACAAAAACAUCACAUAUUCUUAUGUUUCAUAUUCUCUUGAAUCUUUCAUUGAAACUUGUCAAGAGCAUUUGAUUCCAUUUAAACUUUUCACAUCGUCCUUCGUCUCUGUUUAUACAUAAUUAGCAACAAAAACAGAGGGAAGUAAUUUGCAAAAUAGUGAGGAAUUUGUAGUUUUGCUUGUGAUAUCUCAAGCAAGCUUAGUAGAGGUUGACUUGGAGCAAGUCUAGAUUCUCAUCAGAAAAUCAUAUUUAGCCUCUGAUGCUAUAAAUUUGCUGAACUAAUUGAAACAUUUUAUAAUUUUGUGUGAUUAUAGACAAUGUUAUUGCUAAAACAG